GACGAACGCUGGCGGCGUGCUUAACACAUGCAAGUCGAACGGGAAGGCCCUGCUUUUGUGGGGUGCUCGAGUGGCGAACGGGUGAGUAACACGUGAGUAACCUGCCCUUGACUUUGGGAUAACUUCAGGAAACUGGGGCUAAUACCGGAUAGGAGCUCCUGCUGCAUGGUGGGGGUUGGAAAGUUUCGGCGGUUGGGGAUGGACUCGCGGCUUAUCAGCUUGUUGGUGGGGUAGUGGCUUACCAAGGCUUUGACGGGUAGCCGGCCUGAGAGGGUGACCGGCCACAUUGGGACUGAGAUACGGCCCAGACUCCUACGGGAGGCAGCAGUGGGGAAUAUUGCACAAUGGGCGGAAGCCUGAUGCAGCAACGCCGCGUGGGGGAUGACGGCCUUCGGGUUGUAAACCGCUUUCGCCUGUGACGAAGCGUGAGUGACGGUAAUGGGUAAAGAAGCACCGGCUAACUACGUG
rnacentral:rRNA from 1 species